GCUUUAUUAUAGACAUUUGGAAUGGCGCAUUAAUGAGCCUUUGGUUUCUUUGUAGGCCAUCCUUGGGUUCAGGUUGAUGGAGUGGCACCCGAUAAGCCUCUUGACCCUGCAGUCUUAAGCCACUUGACACACUUUUCUGCCAUGAACAAGCUUGAGAAAAUAGCUCUUCGCGUAAAUGUUAACUAUGGUAUCAGAAGUCACUGCUACAUAGGGCCUCUGUAACUGGACCUCAAUUUGAGGUGGAAUAAGCUGCGAGAUGCCAUUCCUCCUUAAAUUGAAUUCCCUAGGUAACUAUAGACGUAGUUAGGGGAUACCUGCACAAGUCAUUGUCUGCCACUAUGGAGUUCAUAAUUGAGAGUGAGAAAGCUAGUCUCCUUGAUUAACCAGUGUCUCCUGAACUGGUCAUAUUUUACAUUACUCAGGACACGCAAAGAGAUUCAUUACUUCCUGAACUAAGAUCAGGUUGUUUCUUGUUCUCAUUUCCCCUCUCUUUCUAGUUUUUAUGAAUUACAAAGGGCUAAAGUAACAUUUUUCCAGCUUCCAUGUCCUUACGAACCUUGUAGUUAUAGUUUUUUUAAACACUGAUAAGCAUGAAGGUUGAUAAAAGUCGAAGGGCCUGCUGAUACAUUUUUAGCAAAACGGUGAUCAUUAUUGUUUUGCAUUUGGUAGGGACCUCUUAAAGUUAGCUCAUUGCAACACUAAGAUUGUCAUAUUGACAAUAGUUGUUGCUGACUAGAUGGUUUCCAAGUAACUGGUAAAAUUGGCACUCAGUGCUCAAUGUUUGAUCCUCUUAAGGGCGAGCUAACAGUUGAAGUGUCUAUAGUUCCUAUUCAUUCCAUUGAUAUCCACUUGCUUCAUGUAGAGUCAAUUCUGGUCGAAGAAAGGAUCAUAACUGAAACCUCUUUAAUUCAGACUGCGCAGGCAUGCAACAUUUCAUAUUUUAGAGUCAAUUCUAGUCAAUUCAUUCUUUUGGACUAAAUAUUAGACUAAUUAAUUUACGAUUUGUAGUUAUACUUUUUGGAUGUUUAAAGUUGUAUUUUAGAGAUUAGUGAACCUUAUGAUUUGGAUUCUUUUCUUGGUUUGUAUAUUUGAGGUUGUUAUCAGCUU